rnacentral:tRNA from 1 species
GGGUCGAUGGCCGAGUGGCUGAAGGCGCACGCUUGGAAAGCGUGUAAACGGAAACGUUUCGGGGGUUCGAAUCCCCCUCAACCCG